ACAGGUGUAGCAAUACAUGCUGACGAGCGGCGGACGGGUGAGUAACGCUUGGGAAUCUGCCUGAUAGUGGGGGACAACCCGGGGAAACUCGGGCUAAUACCGCAUACGCACUACGGUGGAAAGCCGGGGACCGCAAGGCCUGGCGCUAACAGAUGAGCCCAAGUCGGAUUAGCUAGUUGGUAGGGUAACGGCCUACCAAGGCGACGAUCCGUAACUGGUCUGAGAGGACGACCAGUCACACCGGAACUGAGACACGGUCCGGACUCCUACGGGAGGCAGCAGUGGGGAAUAUUGGACAAUGGGCGAAAGCCUGAUCCAGCGACGCCGCGUGGGUGAAGAAGGCCUGCGGGUUGUAAAGCCCUUUCGGUGGGGAAGAAAAGCCUCGAGCUAACACCUCGGGGUCUUGACGUAACCCAUAGAAGAAGCACCGGCUAACUCUGUGCCAGCAGCCGCGGUAAUACAGAGGGUGCGAGCGUUAAUCGGAAUUACUGGGCGUAAAGCGCGCGUAGGCGGCUUUGCAAGUCGGGUGUGAAAUCCCCAGGCUUAACCUGGGAACUGCAUUCGAGACUGCAUUGCUAGAGUAUGGGAGAGGGAAGUGGAAUUUCCGGUGUAGCGGUGAAAUGCGUAGAUAUCGGAAGGAACAUCAGUGGCGAAAGCGACUUCCUGGACCAAUACUGACGCUCAUGUGCGAAAGCGUGGGGAGCAAACAGGAUUAGAUACCCUGGUAGUCCACGCCAUAAACGAUGAGAACUGGAUGUCGGGAGGGUCUGCCUCUCGGUGUCGUAGCUAACGCGUUAAG
rnacentral:rRNA from 1 species